GGAUUGAGUGGUUGAACGUAUGAGUGAGGGUAUUCAAAUUCAAUGGGUAUGAAAGAUGAGUUCUGGGGGAUAUAAAGGGUGUGAUUGAAUGGAUGAUGGAGGGUAAUGAUGAGUGCAGGGUUAUGGGUAUGAGGGAAUAUGGGUAUGUGCAUGGAGGAGCAUGAGGAUAGAUAUGUUGGAGCAGGGAUGGUGGGAGUAUUAUUGGUAGGACGGGUGGUGAAAAUGUAGUGAGAAAAGUGGUUUGAUGGGUAUUAAAAAAAUAGAAAUACGGAUGGUGAUGGAUAUGAAGAGGCAUGAUGAGGUUAUUAGAA
rnacentral:lncRNA from 1 species